AUUGAACGCUGGCGGCAUGCCUUACACAUGCAAGUCGAACGGCAGCACGGGGCAACCUGGUGGCGAGUGGCGAACGGGUGAGUAAUGCAUCGGAACGUACCUUUCAGUGGGGGAUAACGUAGCGAAAGUUACGCUAAUACCGCAUAUUCUGUGAGCAGGAAAGCAGGGGAUCGCAAGACCUUGCGCUGAUUGAGCGGCCGAUGUCAGAUUAGCUAGUUGGUGAGGUAAAGGCUCACCAAGGCGACGAUCUGUAGCGGGUCUGGGAGGAUGAUCCGCCACACUGGAACUGGGACACGGGCCAGACUCCUACGGGAGGCAGCAGUGGGGAAUUUUGGACAAUGGGGGCAACCCUGAUCCAGCCAUGCCGCGUGAGUGAAGAAGGCCUUCGGGUUGUAAAGCUCUUUCGGCCGGGAAGAAAUCGCACGGGCUAAUACCCUGUGUGGAUGACGGUACCGGAAUAAGAAGCACCGGCUAACUACGUGCCAGCCGCCGCAGUAA
rnacentral:rRNA from 1 species